rnacentral:tRNA from 1 species
AUAGGAGUAUUUCAAUUGGCAGAAUGUAUGAUCUGGGAUCAUGCGGUUGCUGGUUCGAGUCCAGCCUCCUAUA